GAUGAACGCUGGCGGCGUGCCUAAUACAUGCAAGUCGAGCGAACGGACGAGAAGCUUGCUUCUCUGAUGUUAGCGGCGGACGGGUGAGUAACACGUGGAUAACCUACCUAUAAGACUGGGAUAACUUCGGGAAACCGGAGCUAAUACCGGAUAAUAUUUUGAACCGCAUGGUUCAAAAGUGAAAGACGGUCUUGCUGUCACUUAUAGAUGGAUCCGCGCUGCAUUAGCUAGUUGGUAAGGUAACGGCUCACCAAGGCAACGAUGCAUAGCCGACCUGAGAGGGUGAUCGGCCACACUGGAACUGAGACACGGUCCAGACUCCUACGGGAGGCAGCAGUAGGGAAUCUUCCGCAAUGGGCGAAAGCCUGACGGAGCAACGCCGCGUGAGUGAUGAAGGACUUCGGAUCGUAAAACUCUGUUAUUAGGGAAGAACAUAUGUGUAAGUAACUGUGCACAUCUUGACGGUACCUAAUCAGAAAGCCACGGCUAACUACGUG
rnacentral:rRNA from 1 species